AAUGAACGCUGGCGGCAUGCCUUACACAUGCAAGUCGAACGGCAGCAUGACCUAGCUUGCUAGGUUGAUGGCGAGUGGCGAACGGGUGAGUAAUGCAUCGGAACGUGCCUUUUAGUGGGGGAUAACGUAGCGAAAGUUACGUUAAUACCGCAUAUUCUCUGAGGAGGAAAGCAGGGGACCUUCGGGCCUUGCGCUAGAAGAGCGGCCGAUGUCGGAUUAGCUAGUUGGUGAGGUAAAGGCUCACCAAGGCAACGAUCCGUAGCGGGUCUGAGAGGAUGAUCCGCCACACUGGGACUGAGACACGGCCCAGACUCCUACGGGAGGCAGCAGUGGGGAAUUUUGGACAAUGGGCGCAAGCCUGAUCCAGCCAUGCCGCGUGAGUGAAGAAGGCCUUCGGGUUGUAAAGCUCUUUCGGCUGGGAAGAAAUCGCACCCUCUAAUACAGGGUGUGGAUGACGGUACCAGCAUAAGAAGCACCGGCUAACUACGUG
rnacentral:rRNA from 1 species